AACCCUACCGUGAACAUUACCUCAUAUCAGACAGGGUAUCGAGGAAAGAUAUUUUUCGUGCUCAUACUGGACGGGGUGUAGGGACGUCCCGAUUCACCCUCACACUGAAAUAGGUAUUGAGGGAUGGUACUUUUGGCUCUCAUAUCGGACUGGAUAUGGGAACGAUCGGUUAGUUGACAAGUUUUGUUAUGGGUUCAUGCGUAGUGGGACAUCCCUAUAGACCCCCAGGGACACCAGUAGGUAAAUAAAAAGGAGAAAGUU
rnacentral:lncRNA from 1 species